rnacentral:rRNA from 1 species
UACGGAGGGGGCUAGCGUUGUUCGGAAUUACUGGGCGUAAAGCGCACGUAGGCGGCUUUGUAAGUUAGAGGUGAAAGCCCGGGGCUCAACUCCGGAACUGCCUUUAAGACUGCAUCGCUUGAACGAUGGAGAGGUAAGUGGAAUUCCGAGUGUAGAGGUGAAAUUCGUAGAUAUUCGGAAGAACACCAGUGGCGAAGGCGACUUACUGGACAUCUGUUGACGCUGAGGUGCGAAAGCGUGGGGAGCAAACAGG